UAGGGAAUCUUCCGCAAUGGGCGAAAGCCUGCCGGAGCAACGCCGCGUGAGUGAUGAAGGUCUUCGGAUCGUAAAACUCUGUUAUUAGGGAAGAACAAAUGUGUAAGUAACUAUGCACGUCUUGACGGUACCUAAUCAGAAAGCCACGGCUAACUACGUGCCAGCAGCCGCGGUAAUACGUAGGUGGCAAGCGUUAUCCGGAAUUAUUGGGCGUAAAGCGCGCGUAGGCGGUUUUUUAAGUCUGAUGUGAAAGCCCACGGCUCAACCGUGGAGGGUCAUUGGAAACUGGAAAACUUGAGUGCAGAAGAGGAAAGUGGAAUUCCAUGUGUAGCGGUGAAAUGCGCAGAGAUAUGGAGGAACACCAGUGGCGAAGGCGAAUUUCUGGUCUGUAACUGACGCUGAUGUGCGAAAGCGUGGGGAUCAAACAGG
rnacentral:rRNA from 1 species